rnacentral:rRNA from 1 species
GACGAACGCUGGCGGCGUGCCUAAUACAUGCAAGUUGAGCGCUGAAGGGUGGUACUUGUACCAACUGGAUGAGCAGCGAACGGGUGAGUAACGCGUGGGUAAUCUGCCUUUGAGCGGGGGACAACAUUUGGAAACGAAUGCUAAUACCGCAUAAAAACUUUAAACACAAGUUUUAAGAUUGAAAGAUGCAAUUGCCUCACUCAAAGAUGAUCCCGCGUUGUAUUAGCUAGUUGGUGAGGUAAAGGCUCACCAAGGCGAUGAUACAUAGCCGACCUGGGAGGGUGGUCAGCCACAUUUGGACCGGGGAACGGCCCCAACCCCCACGGGGGGCAACAGGAGGGGAACUUCCGACAAGGAGCAAAGUCCGAACGAGCCAAGCCGGGUGGGGGGAGGAGGGUCUCCGAACGUAAAAACCUUUUUGUAAGGAAGAAAGUAGGUGGGAGUGAAAUGCUCACCAAGUGACGGUAACUACCCAGAAAGGGACGGCUAACUACGUG